AGUGAACGCUGGCGGUAGGCCUAACACAUGCAAGUCGAACGGCAGCACAGUAAGAGCUUGCUCUUACGGGUGGCGAGUGGCGGACGGGUGAGGAAUACAUCGGAAUCUACUUUUUCGUGGGGGAUAACGUAGGGAAACUUACGCUAAUACCGCAUACGUCCUACGGGUGAAAGCAGGGGAUCUUCGGACUUUGCGCGAUUGAAUGAGCCGAUGUCGGAUUAGCUAGUUGGCGGGGUAAAGGCCCACCAAGGCGACGAUCCGUAGCUGGUCUGAGAGGAUGAUCAGCCACACUGGAACUGAGACACGGUCCAGACUCCUACGGGAGGCAGCAGUGGGGAAUAUUGGGCAAUGGGCGAAAGCCUGAUCCAGCCAUACCGCGUGGGUGAAGAAGGCCUUCGGGUUGUAAAGCCCUUUUAUUGGGAAAGAAAAACAGCAGGUUAAUACCCCGCUGUUCUGACGGUACCCAAAGAAUAAGCACCGGCUAACUUCGUG
rnacentral:rRNA from 1 species